UCCAGGGGCGGGGGGGGGAGGGGGGCCUGCAUUCCAGCCUUUACACAUCAGUCUUUUACAAGGCAAGAAGCUGGGUCCGGCUUUACUGAAUAACAAUUCUUUCCCAACGAACGAUCACAGGCUCUCAAGGUGCAAGACAAAAAGGAAAUGUGCCAACGGGCCAGCCCAAGAGCGAGGUGCAAGUACGUCUGGUGCCUCCCACAGAUCACAACCACCUGCUUCUCUGUUCAGGAAACUGGUGCUGCACAAACACAUCCCUGCCCUGGGAGGUGUCCGAGGCAACAGAGAAGACAGAAGAGGCGGGUGAGAGGAUCGGGCUGGGGGCAGAUAGGACAAAGGAGCAGCAGGAACCGGAGGCUGUAGAAGGGACCAGCCGUGUGUCCAGUUCACAGAUGCCGAGUCGCAAGCAAAGAAAUCACCGCGUCCUCCUCCAGCUUCCCUAGCCAGUGCUGUCCUGAUUAUUCACAAUCACCAGCUCCCUUAGCCCUGCAUCACUGAGGAGACGGCCACUGGCCUGGGGCCCUGGAGGAAGGAGGCGGGAAACUGAGCAGGAGCCAAAAUCGUAAACCAGAAAGGAGGCACCUGCCUGUGACGGGACCCCGGACGGCCGAGUUCUUACUUGGAACCAGCAGCUAAAAGGCUCCAUGUCCGGCUCCCAGUCCCCCUAGCCCCUGCCCAGGCCCCGAGCACCCUUGACCCAUGGAUCUCAAAGAGCUUUACACAGCUACGCCCUACACUGCCUCUCCGAGGGAGGUGAACGAAGCCAUUCCUGUUUUUCAAGGCCACACAGGGGUCGGAGUAGCCGUUGGCAUCCAUGGCAGCCAGGUGUGCACAGCGGAUGAUGCCGACCAAGAGGCCUUGCUUCUGGGAGCUGUACUUGAGGGAGAUGAGGAUCCGGC